rnacentral:pre_miRNA from 1 species
UGCUCCCCCUCUCUAAUCCUUGCUGUCUGGGUGCUAGUGCUGUGUGGAUGCAAUGCACCUGGGCAAGGAUUCAGAGAAGGGGAGCU